rnacentral:tRNA from 1 species
GCGCCUAUAGCUCAGCUGGAUAGAGCACAAGCCUUCUAAGCUUGGGGUCAGGAGUUCGAAUCUCUUUGGGCGCA